rnacentral:lncRNA from 1 species
AUGAUGUUGAUUCCACUCACCAUCACUCCCUUCAUCUUUCUUCUUGCUGGAACUCUGGAGAAGAGGCUACAGAUGGAUGGAAGAGGGAUUGGAGAUUGGAUUUAUUGGAUGAUUGGAUGAAUUCUAGGUUGAGGCUUUGGGACUUAUUUAUAAGUGCUAGGAGGCAUCAAGUUUAAUUGGUUAAGCAAUAUGGGACUAAUAAAAGCA